rnacentral:lncRNA from 1 species
AGAUCGCCGGCACUUGUCUCCUUUGUUCCAGCGUCAGCGUUCUUGGGAUGUCAACAACUCUAGGCUGCCGGUUUUUCCCACCAGGCUGAUGAAGGAACAUGGACUUUGGAGGAUAGAAAGAUGGUCCGCAUCGUCCUGACAAAAACCAAGAGAGAUGCUGCAAACUGUUGGACUUCCCUUCUAGAAUCUGAAUAUGCAGCCGACCCCUGGGUGCAAGACCAAAUGCAGAGGAAACUUACGUUAGAGCGAUUCCAGAAAGAGAAUCCUGGGUUUGACUUUAGUGGAGCAGAAAUCUCAGGGAACUACACAAAAGGUGGACCAGAUUUCUCAAACCUUGAGAAAUGACUGCUGUUGAGUAGUUUCUGUCUGUCUGUCUGUCCGUGGAUCCUGGCAGGUGCUGGCAACUUAAUGCAGCUGAUGAUGUGACGGACGAGACACCCAAUGUCUACAGUAAAAAGAUUGCAAAGUGUAUUUCAGUAUGCUUGUGAAAGAUUACAUUCAGAUACGAUUUGCGUAGGACAUAGAGCAGCUCUGCUGUGGAUAGAUGGUAACUUUUAUUGCUCUGCAUUAAGUUUUAUAUGCUACA